AACGUAGGAGACAAACGUUAUCCGGAGUUACUGGGCGUAAAGGGCGUGUAGGUGGUUUCGUAAGUCUGGCGUGAAAUAUCUCGGCUUAACCGAGGCAGGUCGUCGGAUACUGCGGAACUAGAGGACGGUAGAGGCGUGUGGAAUUCCAAGUGUAGCGGUGAAAUGCGUAGAUAUUUGGAGGAACACCAGUGGCGAAAGCGACUUUCUGGGACAUUUCUGACGCUGAGGAACGAAAGCUCGGGGAGCAAACAGG
rnacentral:rRNA from 1 species